GGUGAGCAGCAGCCGCUAGGCCCUGGCUGGCGUGAGGCUGGCGGGGAGGCGGCCGCUGAUGCAUGGUGGGAACGGGCGGCUUCGGUACGGUCCCCGCAAACCUUGCCCGGGCCCCAUGCCGCGGAUCUGCCCUCUCGUUCAGCAGGGGAAAGCGGCGGGCAGGCUUCGGGUACGGCUGACAGCGGCGCUAGGAGAAAAGGCUUUCCGGAAGUUAUUCAUGACACUUGGCCUUUGAUUUGUCAUCACCUUCUCAUUCUGGAAAACUUAAAUAAACCCUGGACCCAACAGAGGGGAACCACUGAGCUGCCUGGAUGCUGAACUGCAGUGGCAGAUGCUUAAACAGGAGUUACAGGAGCUAAGGUUGUAACGAAUCAUACAGGAAAUCUGUUGUUACAAGUAGAAUAAAAUCUACCUGAUUUGGUGAAGGUUUGAAUCACAAACCUCAGUACUGUUCAGUCUGCAUUUCUGUAAGCCGAGAGAGAGUACGCUGAAAGGCAAAGAUUUCCUCUUCUCCUGUGAACAUGGAGAGUCCUUUGGCGGAAUCCUACAUUAAUACAGAAAACAACACCACAGAACUAACUGUGAGAGACAUAGCUGUACCAAAAUGCAUCCUACCCAACUCCUAAAGCUGAGUGCUUCACAGGCUUUGAUGAUACAAGACAGUAGCAUAGCACCAAAAAACUGAAAUUUAAGUCCAAAUAUUAAAGGAAAACACCUAUUUCACCUAGGGAGAAGAUAUUACUAUCACAUACAUGGCUCAAGUCCAAAUCAUCCAUCAAGACUCUGUUGUUCUCUACCUCACCACUGUCAUGUUCUACCAGGAACAAGCUUUGGAGAGGAGCCACUGCAGAACAAAUAAUACGCACCUGAGAGAAGGAAAAGAGGCAACAAUCUCAUCACCUGGGCUUUGGAGAAAAUGGAUAAAAAUACAUGUUUUAUGGAAAGCAAACUUCAAAUCACGACCUUGUUUGUUUUCCAGGUAUUUUCCUUUUCUCUCAUUAGCACUGCUGUUACAGAUUCACUUGACUUGGUCAUUUGGAAUACUAACCUUUCAAGAUCCUUUUCUCAAUAAGUACUCACGUAACUUUUACACAGAGAACAGAAUAAGUAUGGUAGUGAAUACUCAGAAUAUCUGCUAUACAGGCAAUGAGUUCACAAUCAACUUUCUACAGUAACAGCUGUAAAGUCUUUGUAACCAAUGCUUUCUUUCCCCCAUAGUUAAAAUUCCCCUCAGUAUCUAAGUGCACUGCACACAUAUUUCCACCUAAAGAAUGUUUAAAUUCCAAGUUUUCCAGAAGGCUGAGUGGAGCCACUCUUGCUUUCACCCAUGCUACUCAACCACUGCUAUGGACUUCUUAACCAGAAACCAAGAAGACAAUCAUUUUGAGAGCCAACAACAGCUUCACGCAUCACCUCUGAAAAAACACUUAUCUGGACAAAAAGUAGCUGAAGUCAAAACGUUUUGAUGAGAUAAAGCAUGAAAAUAUUCAAGAAAGUGAAAGGAACUGCUGGAUGGAAACAUCACAGAGCUAGCCCACCAUAUCUCUCACCAUCAAAUAGCGAUAGGUAGCUGGACAAUAAUCCCAUCAAGUGCAAAAGAAAACAACGGAAGCACUAAAAGCAGCAACACAGCUAGGAUGCUGAUGGAGAUUUUAAGUUUGGUGGUAAGCAAACAGUUU